UACGUAGGGUGCGAGCGUUGAAUCGGAAUUACUGGGCGUAAAGCGUGCGCUAGGCGGUUCGUUAAGUUCGUUGUGAAAGCCCCGGGCUCAACCUGGGGAACUGCAAUGGAACUGGCGGGCUUGAAUGCGGCAGAGGGGGGUGGGAAUUCCGCGUGUAGCAGUGAAAUGCGUAGAGAUGCGGAGGAACACCGGAUGGCCGAAGGCAGCCCCCUGGGCCGACAUUGACGCUCAGGCACGAAAGCGUGGGGAGCAAACAGG
rnacentral:rRNA from 1 species